AACACAUGCAAGUCGAACGGUAACGGCAAGAACAAUCCUUCGGGUGCGUUCUUGGACGACGAGUGGCGGACGGGUGAGUAAUACAUAGGAAUCUGCCCAGUAGCGGGGGACAACUCGGGGAAACUCGAGCUAAUACCGCAUACGCCCUACGGGGGAAAGCAGGGGAUCUUCGGACCUUGCACUAUUGGAUGAGCCUAUGUCGGAUUAGCUUGUUGGUGAGGUAAAGGCUCACCAAGGCUACGAUCUGUAGCUGGUCUGAGAGGACGAUCAGCCACACUGGGACUGAGACACGGCCCAGACUCCUACGGGAGGCAGCAGUGGGGAAUAUUGGACAAUGGGGGCAACCCUGAUCCAGCAAUGCCGCGUGUGUGAAGAAGGCCUGCGGGUUGUAAAGCACUUUCAAUCGUGAAGAAAAGCUUACGGUUAAUACCCGUAAGUAUUGACGUUAACGAUACAAGAAGCACCGGCUAACUCCGUG
rnacentral:rRNA from 1 species